rnacentral:rRNA from 1 species
UACAGAGGGGGCAAGCGUUGUUCGGAAUUACUGGGCGUAAAGGGCGCGUAGGCGGCCUUCUAAGUCGAACGUGAAAUCCCCGGGCUCAACCCGGGAACUGCGUCCGAUACUGGAAGGCUUGAAUCCGGGAGAGGGAUGCGGAAUUCCAGGUGUAGCGGUGAAAUGUGUAGAUAUUCGGAAGAACACCAGUGGCGAAGGCAGCAACUUGGCCCUAUAUUGACGCUCAGGCACGAAAGCAUGGGGAUCAAACAGG